rnacentral:rRNA from 1 species
AGGACUGCGKAKGAUCAUUACUGAAAUGUCAGACACGAGUUGUUGCUGGUMCCWGAAAUGGGACAUGUGCACGCUCUGUUUACACAUCCACUCACACCUGUGCACCCUCUGUAGUUCUGUGGCCUUGGGGACUCUGUCCCCUUGCCGUGGUCCUACGUCUUUACAAACACAACGUAAUAAAGUCUUAUGGAAUGUAUGUCGCGUUUAACGCAAUACAAUACAACUUUCAGCAACGGAUCUCUUGGCUCUCGCAUCGAUGAAGAACGCAGCGAAAUGCGAUAAGUAAUGUGAAUUGCAGAAUUCAGUGAAUCAUCGAAUCUUUGAACGCACCUUGCGCCCUUUGGCUAUUCCGAAGGGCAUGCCUGUUUGAGUAUCAUGAACACCUCAACUCUCAUGGCCUGCCCAUGAUGAGCUUGGACUUUGGGGGUCUUGCCGGCCUGACCGUCGGCUCCUCUCAAACGAAUCAGCUUGCCAGUGUUUGGUGGUGGCAUCACAGGUGUGAUAACUAUCUACGCUUGUGGUUUUCCGCCAGGUAACCUUCAGUGAUGGAGGUUCGCUGGGGCUCACAGAAGUCUCUCCUCAGGGAGGACAGCUUUUUGAACGUUUGAUCUCAAAUCAGGUAGGACUACCCGCUGAACUUAAGCAUAUCAAUAAGCGGAGGA